UUUCCGUAGGUGAACCUGCGGAAGGAUCAUUAAUGUGGUGUCAUGGGGUUCGAUGCUGGCAGCCAAUUUUUGGAUGCAUGUGCUUGCCCUAACAAUCAUCUUCCAAACACCUGUGCACAUUUUUGAGGGAGUCUUGAGUUGGUUGCCGCUCUUGGGUGAUUUUCUCACAUUCCCUUAAAUCAUUAUACGCUAUUAACAAUGUUGAACGUGCUCUGUGCCGCAAGGCUAUUAAUAUAAUACAACUUUUAACAACGGAUCUCUUGGCUCUC
rnacentral:misc_RNA from 1 species